rnacentral:tRNA from 1 species
UAGCUCUGUUGGUAGAGCAUGAGACUCAUAAUCUCAGGGUAGUGGGUUUGUGUCCCAU